rnacentral:tRNA from 1 species
AGCUGAGCUAAGGAGACAUAUAGCGUCGGUCUUCUAAACCGCAGGUCGCGCGUUCGAAUCGCGCAGGAGGCACCA